CACGUAGGGGGCAAGCGUUGUCCGGAUUUAUUGGGCGUAAAGAGCUCGUAGGCGGUUCGAUAAGUCGGGUGUGAAACCUCCAGGCUCAACCUGGAGACGCCACCCGAUACUGUCGUGACUAGAGUCCAGUAGGGGAGCGUGGAAUUCCUGGUGUAGCGGUGAAAUGCGCAGAUAUCAGGAGGAACACCAGUGGCGAAGGCGGCGCUCUGGGCUGGAACUGACGCUGAGGAGCGAAAGCGUGGGGAGCGAA
rnacentral:rRNA from 1 species